AACGAACGCUGGCGGCAUGCCUAACACAUGCAAGUCGAACGAGACCUUCGGGUCUAGUGGCGCACGGGUGCGUAACGCGUGGGAACCUGCCCUUAGGUUCGGAAUAACUCCCCGAAAGGGGUGCUAAUACCGGAUAAUGUCUUCGGACCAAAGAUUUAUCGCCUUUGGAUGGGCCCGCGUUGGAUUAGCUAGUUGGUAGGGUAAAAGCCUACCAAGGCGACGAUCCAUAGCUGGUCUGAGAGGAUGAUCAGCCACACUGGGACUGAGACACGGCCCAGACUCCUACGGGAGGCGGCAGUGGGGAAUAUUGGACAAUGGGCGAAAGCCUGAUCCAGCAAUGCCGCGUGAGUGAUGAAGGCCUUAGGGUUGUAAAGCUCUUUUACCCGGGAUGAUAAUGACAGUACCGGGAGAAUAAGCUCCGGCUAACUCCGU
rnacentral:rRNA from 1 species